UCUUGUUAAAGUACUGUACAUUGCGUAGCAACAGUGUAAAAAGAGGUUGGUUUGCUGUAACAUUCAAUCCUUUAUUCCUGCAGGUGCGUUUCAGCCCCCUUUCAAUGAAUAACGCAACCCCUAGUGCAUUUGCACCGAGACCAGGUCCAUCAACUUCCACUCCUAUGAUACCUCAUGCCACAAAUAAAAAUGAUGCUCCUGGAUUAGACAUGAAGUACUUGCAAAAGAGCAUUCCGCUCAAAGCACAGAAAGGCCACAAUCCCUGUAAUGCAGUGCCAACAAGAGUGCUGUUAUCGAAUCAGGUAAAAGCACAAACUUUAUCAGCCUAUUUUCCAGGGCAGCAGUCAAAACUCCCAGCAUCGUGAACAUGAAAUGGUGAAGUCAGAAGACUACAGUUCAAAAAAAAAAAAAAAACCCUGCUGAAAUGUACUUCCCAUGGAAUUAAGCCAACUUGUAGUUCUCAGAUGAUAUAUUAACAAAGUGAAAUACAGGUGCUCAUUCAAACUGCCAGAUUUCAAUCUUAUUUUUUUUUAUCACUCCUGGGAUUUGACUUGUAUGUGUAUUUUCUGUAUAAACAGUCUUCAAUGCUCAUACCAAAGAACUGUAUUUGUGUAAAUCUUUAAUUCUAGCACCUGUGGGAAUAUGUGGGUAUAAGUGUGUGUGUUGAACAAUUACUGCAAAGAUAAACCACUGAAAAAAUGCUUAUUUUUCAAUGUAUUAUCCUUUUUAAGAUAGUUGGGUCUAUUUUAAUGAUAGAAGUAGUGGAUAUUCUAACACAAGCGCUCCAAGAAAGUAUCCUCAAAGAUGUGCCCAUUUACGUUUAAUUAACACAAUCUGAAAUACUGCAUUACUAAUGCAGGAGAUGGACUAAAGUCAUCACAGUCUGCUAUGCCAUUUUAAAAAGUAUGUAUUUUGAGGUAGUAAGUAGAUAGCUACAGUAAAUGUAAAAAAUAAAUAUUAUAAUAACCUUGAACUUAAGAAGAAUAAAC